GAUGAACGCUGGCGGCGUGCUUAACACAUGCAAGUCGAACGGAACUACUCCAAUGAGAGUCUUCGGAAAGGAUUUGGUUUAGUUUAGUGGCGGACGGGUGAGUAACGCGUGGGUAACCUGCCCUAUACAGGGGGAUAACAGUUGGAAACGACUGUUAAUACCGCAUAAGCGCACAGGAGCGCAUGCUCCGGUGUGAAAAACUCCGGUGGUAUAGGAUGGACCCGCGUCUGAUUAGCUGGUUGGCGGGGUAACGGCCCACCAAGGCGACGAUCAGUAGCCGGACUGAGAGGGUGAACGGCCACAGUGGGACUGAGACACGGCCCAAACUCCUACGGGAGGCAGCAGUGGGGAAUAUUGCACAAUGGGGGAAACCCUGAUGCAGCGACGCCGCGUGAGCGAAGAAGUAUCUCGGUAUGUAAAGCUCUAUCAGCAGGGAAGAAAAUGACGGUACCUGACUAAGAAGCCCCGGCUAACUACGUG
rnacentral:rRNA from 1 species